rnacentral:rRNA from 1 species
UACAGAGGGGGCAAGCGUUAUUCGGAAUUAUUGGGCGUAAAGGGCGCGUAGGCGGCUUGGCAAGUGGAUGGUGAAAUCCCUCGGCUUAACCGAGGAACUGCCGUCCAAACUGCUUUGCUUGAGACCGGGAGAGGCGAGUGGAAUUCCCAGUGUAGCGGUGAAAUGCGUAGAUAUUGGGAGGAACACCAGUGGCGAAGGCGGCUCACUGGACCGAUACUGACGCUGAUGCGCGAAAGCGUGGGGAGCAAACGGG